GACGAACGCUGGCGGCGUGCUUAACACAUGCAAGUCGAACGGAAAGGCCCUGCUUUUGUGGGGUGCUCGAGUGGCGAACGGGUGAGUAACACGUGAGUAACCUGCCCCUGACUUUGGGAUAACUUCAGGAAACUGGGGCUAAUACCGGAUAGGAGCUCCUGCUGCAUGGUGGGGGUUGGAAAGUUUCGGCGGUUGGGGAUAGACUCGCGGCUUAUCAGCUUGUUGGUGGGGUAGUGGCUUACCAAGGUUUUGACGGGUAGCCGGCCUGAGAGGGUGACCGGCCACAAUGGGACUGAGGGACGGCCCAGACUCCUACGGGAGGCAGCAGUGGGGAAUAUUGCACAAUGGGCGGAAGCCUGAUGCAGCAACGCCGCGUGCGGGAUGACGGCCUUCGGGUUGUAAACCGCUUUCUCCGGUGACGAAGCGUGAGUGACGGUAAUGGGUAAAGAAGCACCGGCUAACUACGUG
rnacentral:rRNA from 1 species